UACGGAGGAUCCAAGCGUUAUCCGGAAUCAUUGGGUUUAAAGGGUCCGCAGGCGGGAUAAUAAGUCGGUGGUGAAAGUCUGCAGCUCAACUGUAGAACUGCCAUUCAUACUGUCGUCCUUGAGUUCUGGUGAAGUGGUUGGAAUAUGUAGUGUAGCGGUGAAAUGCAUAGAUAUUACAUAGAACACCGAUUGCGAAGGCAGAUCACUAACAAUACACUGACGCUGAUGGACGAAAGCGUAGGUAGCGAACAGG
rnacentral:misc_RNA from 1 species